AGUAUAAAUAAAUAAUUUCGCUUUAUAUAAGAGAACUAUAUAUAUUUGAUAUUUUAUGACUAAAGUCUUAGAAAAUUUAAGUACUGAAUAUAUACAGCACUGUGCUUUACCAAGAUGGCGGCUAUCUUACCACCGAGAAUUCCCCACGAAAAGUUUCUAAUGUAAAUGAUGCAUUUGUCCACACUAUUGUCCAAGAGUAGAUACACCGCAUGCAUCACAGUGCUGCAGUAAGAGGCCGCCGAGGUUUGUUUACAUUAUAUUUACUCAGCACUGUGGGCUGCGUGCAACGCUUUGGUUUUAAUACUAUAGUGGCAAUUAGGGUGUUGUGUUAAGCUGCAAAAAUAUUUUAAAUUUUACCAAAAUUUUAACUAAUUUUAAUUUAAGAACUUUAAUUAGUUUAAAUUUUAUUUAUUUAAGUAUUCAGGUUAGAAUUUUCAAAAAAUCGAUUUUUGUAUUAUUUUUGGUAAUGUCCCUGCAAGACGGAGGUAACAAACUGCACAAACACAAUCAAACUUUUUCAGAUGUUUACUCAUACAAUUACAACACUUACAUUUGUUUACAACUUUGAAUUGAAUUGGAGAAAGCUUUCGUUAGAAAGAGAAAAAAUAUUGCCACUGUAAGCAUAUUGAUAUAAUAAUAUGCUAAAAGAAGACAGAUAUGACAUUAAAAAAAGAAAAACUGAAAUUGAAGCCGCAAUUUGGCCAUUUUAUAAAAAAAUUGGCGCUUGAAGAGGAGAUAUGUAAAAGUAUUCAAUUAAAAAGGCAAAAUCAACGCACAAAGACCGGGACUUGAUACAAAAGAAAAUGUGUUAGAUGCCUGGAUGCUGGGAUGGAAUUUCUUGAUAUGUUGUUAGCAGGUUUGCGUAAGGAGUAUCCAGUCCCCACCCAACAUUGUUAAAAUAUAUACAUAUAUUUAGAAUAAGAAUAAAAUAAGAUUAUAUAUCAUUUGAAUUUUUGUAAAAUUAGAACAUAAAUUGCAUAAAUAUAAUAAUUUAUAUAUAAAUGUAAUUUUUAUAUUAAUAACUUGUAAAUGUAAAAAUUUAAUAAUAAGUUUAACUGUUUAAGUUUAUAUGAUUGUAUUAUCUACAUAUUUGAUUUUGUAAUAAUUAAAAAUGUAAUAAAAUAAAAUAAAAAACAAAAAGAAAAUAAUUAUUUUUAACUGUUAGCGGAAAAAGAUAACAAAUAUAGGUAACAAGCUGCUAACCAAAAUAAUGAACCGUACGGUAACAAAUACAUCUGUUCUGAAUAACAUAGGGAUAACAUAUAUGCUAACAUUUGCUUCAGCAGAGGUAACAUAUAUAUAACAUGCCAAAUAUGAAAAUAUAUGAGGCCAUUAACAGACUGUUAGUUGUCAAAACUUGACCAAUAGGAGACAAGUAUAAGUGUUAUCGUAGAACGAGACCACUUACGCAAAAUGUAAUUGGAUAGAGUGAGAAAACCGUUGAACGAGUAGGGGCAUAGUGUUACUUCUUUCCCACGCUUCGAACAAAAGUAACACACAAAUUAAUUUUUGCUAAUAUUUAGAGUAACAUAGCUGUAACAUGUUAGCUGAAAAUUACCCGUCUUGCAGGGGUAUAGCUGUAAUCGAUUGGUCAUUUAUUUACUCAUUAACUGUGUUUUGAAAGACGGUGAGCAAGAUUUCUCGGAAAUGGCUGAAAAUGUUUGAAAACAUAAUUUUUUAUGGCACCUAAUUAGAUUUAUCCCCUUAAGUCGUGCUGAACAAUACUCAAAAAAAGUAUUAAUUUUUGGGUUUAUUUUCAAAAUCGUAGAUCAUUGUAUAGGAAAUACCUUCAAGUUUAAUAACUUUUUUGAAUUUUUUUGUUUCAGCUGCUCAUUAGAAUGGGAUCAUGUCAGCAGUUGGGGAACUUUUUUUGCACCUUCGAAGACGUUAUUUUUCAAUAUUUUUGUAAAAAAAAUUGAAAUAUAGCUGAAAAUAUAUAUUACGUCAAAAAUACUUUGAAACAUUCGAUCAAGUACUUUCUUAAAAAAAAAACUCACGAAAAUCGCCUAAUUCGUCAUGGAUUACACUGGUAAAGCCCCAUAAAUACAAACCUGUAUUGUUAUCACCGCAUUUGACAUUUCCAAAGUUUGAAAAAUUUGAUACAGCCAACCGUUAUAAUAUUUAUAUUAGUUGUUUACCUAACACAAGCAGAAGUUUUUAAAUAAUGGUUGAUGUGAAAGUAUAAAAUUAUAUAUUUUGUAGUUUAAAAAAAAUAUGUGUUUAAAUAAUGAUGCUGAAAAUUUGCGUAUGUCUCUUAAUAUACUUCUUCUUAAUAUAUUCGCUUAAGUGCCCCUUCUUAACAUGCAAGACUUUUGGGACACUUAAGCGAAAGUCACUUAAAUGAAUCCCUGUGUAAUAUUGGGGGGUGUGAGUACUGUAAGUGGGGAUCACUGUAAUAGAAAGCGAUCUCCUCGAUGUGUAAAUAUAUUUAUUAUUGUAAUACUGUGAACUUCCUUAACUAAAACUUCUAUAUCCCGAAGUUCUCCACAAGUAGCAUUCUUGAAUAGGCAAUAGCAGUAAAAUUUCAUACAAAUUAUCUGUCAUUACUCGGAAAUCACUCUUACUCGAAAUUUUUUUGGUGGAUUAUGGUGCUUCGAGAAAUGGAAGUUCAAUUGUAUAUUGUGAAUACGGGAAUUAUUAUUAUAAGUAAUAAUAUUAGUAAAUAACUUAAGGAGUUGGAGUUUCAAAAUUUUAAUAUUAGAAAAAUGUUUUUGUCUUAUUAAAUAGUACAAUUUGUUUAAAAUAUUAUUUAAAAAUAGCAAACAACCCGAGUGCAAUUCUAAGAUAUAUACCCUUUGGAAGUAAUGCAAAACAGGCCACGUCGGUUUGAAUGUAAAACUUUAAACCCGUUUAACUCAAAACUCAAUUUUUCAAGUCGUCAAAAGUUAUGAAGCGAUUUCAUUCAAAUUU